ensembl:snRNA U2 U2 spliceosomal RNA
AUUGCUUCUUGGCCUUUUGGCUAAGAUCAAGUGUAGUAUCUGUUUUUAUCAGUAAAUGUUUUUGAACUGUAUACUUUAUAUAUAUUUCACUAUAU